AGCAAGUGACCGGUGGCGGCUCGGCUGGAAUGAUGGCAGGCGCGAGAACCGAUGAACUUUACCACGCCAUGCCGUGGUGGCAGGAGCAGAGCUAGCUAGGUAGCCCAUCCCGUCUUCUCGCCGAGCUUUCUUCUCUCCCAAUCGUCGGCCAGAGGCAGGAGGGAGCCAAGUGUCCUUCGGGAGAGGCUUCAUUUCACCCCUUCUCGUCUUCUCCGCUAAGAUCCUCUGCUCUCGCAGAAUCCCGGGGCUCCCGAUUCUUUUUCCGCCGCUUGACCUAGCCAAGGUUUCCGUUCGCCGGGAUCUCAGCCGGCCCAAGAUGGGCUGCGAAAGAUGCAAGCGGAGGGAUGAACUCGACUACUGCAAUCUGGAUGACCGGGAGAAGCAUUUCCUGAUGUUUAUGGUGGAUGGCUGUGGUCGUGAGAUGACCAUCCCAGAUGAUUUUCUGAAACGAUUCAGGGGUGAGAUCCUGUUGAGGAUAUAGACCUUAGAGUCACCCGCCAGGAGGGGCCGGGUUACUCUAAUGGUCAUUGCCAGAAGCCCGACGCCAAGCUUA